rnacentral:rRNA from 1 species
AUGAACCCGCAUUUUCUCCGGUACCACCACCGCUGGUCUGACCCACCUCGCCGUAGCCGCCGUCGGCGUGACCACGGUCCCCAAUUCGGCCUCCGCCUCCGUGCCGCCGCCACCAUGUUGCCGCAUCAGAUUUGCCCCACCUUGGCCGGUCGUUGUCGUGCCGGAGCCGCCUGCAAAGAAGCAAUAGGCCGCCAAGUCAUGCGAUGGAGGCAUGAAGCGGCCGACGGUGAGGUGGCGCAACCCAGCGGCGAACCAACCUCGGCCGACCAAAUUUUGAAGCCGGACGCGGCUGUGAGGGGCGAUUGGCUUCUUCCGCCGGCGGCCGUGGCUUCCUCCUCCGGCCCAAGAGGCCCUCCUCCACCACCGUCGGCCAUGGAGGAUGACAUGGUCACGCCGACGGCCACCGCAUCCAACGUAUUUAACAAAAUGUCCCAAAGGUAA